rnacentral:rRNA from 1 species
AAAAAAGGUAAGCUACUAAGAGCGAAUGGUGGAUGCCUUGACUGGUAAAGGCGAUGAAGGACGUACUAGACUGCGAUAAGCUACGGGGAGCUGUCAAGAAGCUUUGAUCCGUAGAUUUCCGAAUGGGGCAACCCAAUGUAUAGAGAUAUACAUUACCUAUAUAGGAGCGAACGAGGGGAAUUGAAACAUCUUAGUACCCUCAGGAAAAGAAAUCAAUAGAGAUUGCGUCAGUAGCGGCGAGCGAAAGCGCAAGAGGGCAAACCCAGUGCUUGCACUGGGGGUUGUAGGACUGCAAUGUGCAAGAGCUGAGUUUAGCAGAACAUUCUGGAAAGUAUAGCCAUAGAGGGUGAUAGUCCCGUAUGCGAAAAACAAAGCUUAGCUAGCAGUAUCCUGAGUAGGGCGGGACACGAGGAAUCCUGUCUGAAUCCGGGUCGACCACGAUCCAACCCUAAAUACUAAUACCAGAUCGAUAGUGCACAAGUACCGUGAGGGAAAGGUGAAAAGAACUGAGGUGAUCAGAGUGAAAUAGAACCUGAAACCAUUUGCUUACAAUCAUUCAGAGCACUAUGUAGCAAUACAGUGUGAUGGACUGCCUUUUGCAUAAUGAGCCUGCGAGUUGUGGUGUCUGGCAAGGUUAAGCAAACGCGAAGCCGUAGCGAAAGCGAGUCUGAAUAGGGCGCUUAGUCAGAUGCUGCAGACCCGAAACGAAGUGAUCUAUCCAUGAGCAAGUUGAAGCUAGUGUAAGAACUAGUGGAGGACUGAACCCAUAGGCGUUGAAAAGCCCCGGGAUGACUUGUGGAUAGGGGUGAAAGGCCAAUCAAACUUCGUGAUAGCUGGUUCUCUCCGAAAUAUAUUUAGGUAUAGCGUUGUGUCGUAAUAUAAGGGGGUAGAGCACUGAAUGGGCUAGGGCAUACACCAAUGUACCAAACCCUAUCAAACUCCGAAUACCUUAUAUGUAAUCACAGCAGUCAGGCGGCGAGUGAUAAAAUCCGUCGUCAAGAGGGAAACAACCCAGACUACCAGCUAAGGUCCCUAAAUCUUACUUAAGUGGAAAACGAUGUGAAGUUACUUAAACAACCAGGAGGUUGGCUUAGAAGCAGCCAUCCUUUAAAGAAAGCGUAAUAGCUCACUGGUCUAGUGAUUUUGCGCGGAAAAUAUAACGGGGCUAAAGUAAGUACCGAAGCUGUAGACUUGCACACAACUUAGAUUAUUUAAGUUUAGAAUAAGUAGUUUAAGUUGUGUGCAAGUGGUAGGAGAGCGUUCUAUUUGCGUCGAAGGUAUACCGGUAAGGAGUGCUGGAGCGAAUAGAAGUGAGCAUGCAGGCAUGAGUAGCGAUAAUUAAUGUGAGAAUCAUUAACGCCGUAAACCCAAGGUUUCCUACGCGAUGCUCGUCAUCGUAGGGUUAGUCGGGUCCUAAGUCGAGUCCGAAAGGGGUAGACGAUGGCAAAUUGGUUAAUAUUCCAAUACCAACAUUAGUGUGCGAUGGAAGGACGCUUAGGGCU